rnacentral:tRNA from 1 species
GGGGUUGUGGCUCGGUGAUAGAGCUCUUGCCUAGUAAGUGUGAGGCUCUGAGUUCGAUCCUCAGCACCA